rnacentral:lncRNA from 1 species
CUCGAAUCAUUUCUUGGUCUAGCAUCUCCAUGCUGUGGAGGAUACCCGCCCCCUUAGUAGCUGUCUUGGUGAUCAGAUUGACCGUCGAGGCACUGCAGUGCUUGUCCUCAGAACAAGAACCCAGAGCCCACCAAAGGACUGGCGUGAAAGGAGCUGUAGCACUGUAUCCGUCCCACCCUCCACUGGCACCGGAUGGCUGCCCCACAUGACAGGAAGUGUUGGUGUGACCAGACCAGCAGCCCAGGAGCCAUGGGCUAGAGUGGGGCAUUGGGACCGAAUGAGCGGUAACAUGAACAAGCUGAAACACAUUCCUGCCCAGCCUGCCAAGCUGUGGGCAGUGACACGCUCUUAUUUGCCAGACUACAAGAGAAGAUCUGUGACCCUUCUGGGGGCCCAUACCUUGGGGCUCCCCAAGCCAGAGCUGUGACAUGCUGUAACACCCUCUUGCAGCUCCACGGUUGCUGGUGUCUUUGAGUUUUCAGGCACCACGGCGUUCCCCUUGUUGGGAUGCCAGUGCCCAAGGUGGAAGCCACUUGAGGCAUACCUGGUCCAGCCACAGCCUCACAUGGUUCUGACACCUGGAGCUGCCUGCCCUUCUGCAGCAGCUGGUGCACCUGGCUCUGUGGUGUGGCUGGACCCUGUGCUCACUCACACACCUCCCACUACUCCGCGCCUGGCUCACCCAUGAUGGGAAUGGGAUCUGGGCCAGUAGUGCAAGCUGAGGACAGCCUGCUGGGCUGAGUAGGCAGAGCCAGCCCAGCAGUUGUGAGCAAAACUUGGUCAGAGGCGCCACUGGUCACAGAAGUUUCUGGCUGGUGAAGUGGCACUGAAAGAAUCCUGUGUGACUUUGCUCAUCUCAGUUACUCAUUCUGUGGCCACAUCUCAGACUAGCCUUGGGGAUUCCCAGUAGCUGUGCCUGCAAUCCUCAAUUUCAAGCAGUUGUCUGACCACCACCUCCUAUUUUUCCAGCUCACUACUUCUAGUCCCCCAAGUCUAAUAACUCUUUAAUUGGCCAGGAUCUGAAUCUACCGUCCUCCCACCUUCCGCUGGUCCCCUCUUCCCUCCUUGAGCAACCUCAAUGCCACAGUCAGUCAUAAUAACCACCUUCUCGCAUUUGCAACGCCCUUAGUCUGCUCUCUUCUUUACACUCUCUUGGCAAAACCUGAACGCUGAUGAGAAAUAACUCUUCACUCUGCACCUGCACUCGUGCAGUUGAGCAUCUCUGGGGAAAACAUACAGUUGAAUGGAGUGGUUUUAGAUUCAGACCCUGAACUUCACGGGAUCCUCAGUGCCGCCUGGCAGGCAGGAACCCUUUCCCAAGCACACUGCUCUCUCUGCUAAAACUCUUUCCACCUCUGUCUUCUUCUUCUUUUUUUUUUUUUUUUUUUGAACUUCACGGGAUCCUCAGUGCCGCCUGGCAGGAAGGAACCCUUUCCCAAGCACAAGGCUCUCUCUGCUAAAACUCUUUCCACCUCUGUCUUCUUCUUCUUCUUUUUUUUUUUUUUUUUUUUUGAGACGCUCACUGUCACUCUGGCUGGAGUGUAGUAGUGCGAUUACAGAUCACUGCAGUCUUGACCUCUGGGCUCAAGGGAUCCUCCUGUCUCAGCCUUCCGUGUAGCUGGGGCUACAGGCAUGUGCCACCGCACUCUGCUAAUUUUUUAAAAAAUACUUUGUGGAGACAGAGUCUUGUCAUGUUGCCCAGGCUAGUCUUGAACCGCUCGGCUCGAGCAGUCCUCCAGCCUUGGCUUCCCAAAGUGCUAGGAUUACAGACAUGAGCCACCAUACCCAACCUCAGCUUCUUAUUUCAGAGAAAUCUGUAAAGGAGUAAUCAGAUGAGAAACUGUGCAAACACCUGCAUGUCUCCACUCCUAGCUUUGGUGCCCCUUGACUCUCCCUCCUGUUGGGUGAAUGAGCUGCCUGGCUCCUCCCUGAAGCUGGUUCCUCCCCUUGUGCUCCAGAGCCCAUUCCCUGAUUUCUAUUCAAGGGUUUCACUGCGACAAGUCUCCUAUCUUGCAUCAAGUUUUCUCUUUCUUUCAGUAACGCAUGUCAGCAUACACACCUGCUGUUAUUUCUGCUAUCUUAAAAAAAGAUUUUUUUUCUUAAAAAGAGACUUUUGUGAGUGUGUGCCAUGGUAGGCUUAAAGUAACAGGGUCCCGCCCAUCUAACAUGCUGUAAUAAAUGUGCUGGAGCUGAGGACCUGCGCUUAGCUGCUCCAGGAGUCCUGGAUGCCUCUCAUACCAGUCAAGAGCAGGCCCAUCCUCUUUCCUUACCCUACUGCUUCUGUGCCCACAGAAGCCCUUCACAUCCUGUCUCAUUCUGCCCUUUGUUCCUUUUCCUUUGGUUGACAGCUCCAGGACUUCAGAACAUUCCCUAUGUUCUCACCAAACAGCUGCCAGGCAGCCAGGCUCAGUUUUCCAAGUGGGUUUUCCUGUACUUUAUUUUCGUAUCGUGCUGUCCCCAGGCAGCCAAAGCAGGAUGAACAGCAGGAGAAGAGAGCCAGGCCCUCUCCUGGAACAGCCUCCUGGUCUUCCCUCAGCUGUACUUUUUUUUAUUGUCAGAACACGUAGUUUCAGAGCUUCAGGAACAAGGCAGCUUUGUGAGAAGCAUAUGCAAGAAGGGACAGAUUUCUGACAUUUCCAUAAAAGCACAAAGGCUUGUUUUGUUCAGAAUCAAGGUUGGAGAAGUAGCUGGUGGAUAAGAAGUAAUUGACGAGAUGGGCUUGGGGUAAUUAGCUUGAUUCAAUUAGCAUGAGGUGGAACUGAGUUACCCAAGCUAGAUGUCAGCUCAGCCCAGCCACCACCCGCCCACACCAUCUGCACUCAAUAAGCAUUUAUCUGUUGGAGCUUUUUCUGCACAUUCCAAGGUCGCUAUCAGAAUCUGAAUCCCCUGUUCUGAUAAUGCAGUGCCUAGAGCCACGGCCUCGCAGCUUCCCUCCUUCACCUCCAAUCUUGCUUCUUCCCGCCUCCACUUGACCUCCCAUGAUCCCCCUCCCAGUCAUCACCUAGAGGUGAUGCACAGAGUGGCCGACAGAGUGAACUCCAAGGGCUGGCUUCACAUUCCUACAUCCUAAUUCUUUAGAGGCAGGGCUUUUUUGUGACUUUAAACAACAAAAUUGUUCCCCAUUCAUUAACUUAUUGGGGAUAAAAAGAGUUAGAGGUGAGGUGAUCUGAGAUUCUUCUAUUAAAUGGUUUGGGGCUUCAGUUAAAUCAUUGUUUCUUCAUCUGUCAAAUGGCAGUAAUAACAGAGGCCCAACCUCCACAGGGAGCUGCUAUAACAACAACAACAUAAAAAUCCCCAAGGGGUACCCGUGAUGUUGGUUUCAUGUGUCAAGCUGGCCAAGCUAUAGUAUCCAGUUAUCUAAUCAGGCACUCCUUUAGGGGGUGUUGUGAAGGCAUUUUAUAGAUGUGGUUAACAAACCAGUCCACUUUAAAUUAAGAAGAUUGCCCUUGCUGAUGUGAUUGGGGCUCACCAUCCAUUAGCUGAAGGCCGUAAGAACAGAACUGAGGUUUCUGGGAGGAGACAUUCUUUCAAGACUGCACUGCCAACUCCAGCCUGAGUUUCCAGCCUCCUGGAAGCCCUACAGAUUUCAGACAUGCAGUCCCCACAAACAGAUAAACCAAUUUCUUAAAAUAAAUCUCGGUGUCUCUAUAUCGUAUUGGCACUGUUUUUCUGCAGAACUCUGAUUGCUACAGUACUGACUGAUAUAGGAAGAUACCUUCCCGAUACAAGUCCUUGGUGGGGAGGAAGGGAGAUUGAGAACCACGUGAAGGUAGUUUUAUGCAAUAACUCCAUCCCAGGCUAUGCCAAUACCCAAGGCUGCAGGAGAGAAGCAGAGGGCUGUUGGGCUCACAACCCAGCACAAGGUUGUGGGGGGAAGGGACACCUCCACAUCCUGCUGAGGUCCUCUCUGACUAGGGGCUGCUGGCAGGUAUGGCUCAAGGAAUGAAGUCGCAGCCUUGGACUAAAUAGGAUCAGGGUGGAGCUUGGUACAAAGAGGGAGGGGCUGGCUAGCACUGGCAUACAUUGCUUGAGGGCCUACUAUGUGCACGCCCCUCUGUAAAGCUGCAUUUCUUCUUUCCCACACAGCUGGCUUGGUGAGCCUCUAGGGGUGGCCAACCUGAGCUCCUGCAUUCCUGUCUUUCCAGCAGGAGUUCAAGCUGCCCCUGAGCACAAAGGCCCUUCCUGCCCAGCUCCUGGAGAGCCUCCCUCUGC